rnacentral:rRNA from 1 species
AUUGAACGCUGGCGGCAGGCCUAACACAUGCAAGUCGAGCGGACGCAGGGGGCUUGCUCCUGGAUUCAGCGGCAGACGGGUGGGUCAUGCCUAGGAAUCUGCCUGGUCGUGGGGGAUAUCGUCCGGAAACGGGCGCUGCUCUCGCAUACGUCGUGAGAUCGCAAUUGGGGGAUCUUCGGACCUCACGCUUUCUGAUGAGCCUAGGUCGGAUUAGCUAGUUGGUGGGGUAAAGGCUUACAAAGGCGACGAUCCGUAACUGGUCUGAGAGGAUGAUCAGUCACACUGGAACUGAGACACGGCCCAGACUCCUACGGGAGGCAGCAGUGGGGAAUAUUGCGCAAUGGGCGAAAGCCUGAUCCAGCCAUGCCGCGUGUGUGAAGAAGGUCUUCGGAUGGUAAAGCACUGUAAGUUGGGAGGAAGUGAAGUAAUUUAAUACCUGGCGGUUUUGACGGUACCAACAGAAGAAGCACCGGCUAACUUCGUG